GUCUACAGUCAUACUACCCUGAACACACCUGAUCUCGGAAGCUAAGCAGGGUCGAGCUUGGUUAGUACUUGGAUGGGAGAAUUGACACUUUAGAAU
rnacentral:rRNA from 1 species